ensembl:lincRNA
AGGCUGCUGUCAGCAGGACCCAGGCCUGAGCAUCCCUGUUUCUUGGGAAGCUCUAGGGAUCCCUGUUUGUGCAAGCUGUUCCUGAUGUUCCUUCCAGGCAUCUCAUCAGCUGGAUCAGAACGUCUCUCCCUUUAUUAGAAUGCACUCCUUUAAAUGGAAAAGAUGGUACCUUGCGGAGUAGCUUUAAACCGCUGAGGACUUACAGAGUCCCAGGCACUAAGAUGUGCCGAGAAAACCCAAGCUCCUUGUGUUGUCCCCUUGUGUCCUACCUGAUAAGCAUGAGCUGCUAAAGAGGAAAUGAUUCUUAAAAGCUUUUUUUGUUGGAAAAUAUUCAAGAGACUAUUGAUCACGUCUCAAUUUUAUGCAUCAGAAUCAUUACUUUCAGGCCACCAGGACAAAAAUAAGUGAGGACACAGGCAGAGUUUUCAUCUUGCUCAAUGUGGACAGAUUGAAAAUUACGUUACUUAAAAUCAUGCUGACUACACAGAGACAACUUUAUGGCCAAAUUGUCACGUACAGCUGACGACAAGACAUUAGAGCACCAGUCACCUGGACUCCUUGGCAGCAAUCUAUCAUUUAUAUGGAGGGUCUGGAUGGCUUGCUGAUGGCGAGUUCAGGAAGGCAUGGCGGGGGCAGCAAGGUGCUCAAUCCGGAGUCGACGGGAGGCGUGGCCACCUGUGCAUCAGCGUGGAGUCUCCUUUUCUCCAGAUGAUGCACGUGUUAGCACAGAUCUCACCUUUCCCAAGAAAAGUUGUUACAUCUUUGCUAAUGAGAUCUUUUGAGGAACUUGGUCACACCUCUUCAGUUUAAUUAUCAUACCACACUGAAAUGACUUCUUUCCUUUUCCUGCUCUCCUACCGAGAACAAAUAUCGACGGUUGCUUCCCAUUAUGACUUCAACACUGCACUAAUAGAUCUGUUAAUAUCUGUGGAUGGCAUAAAUAUAUAAGAAAGACUC